rnacentral:rRNA from 1 species
AUUAGUAAUAGUUAAUUUGUUUAAGUUAAUAAAAUUAAUUUAAAUUUUUUAAGUGAAAUUUUAAAUUUAAUUAAUUUUAUAUGAAAAAGUUAAUGAAGCUAGAAAAUUUUAAUAAUAAACUAGGAUUAGAUACCCUAUUAUUUAAAAAGUAAAAUUCAAUACUUGAGUAGUAAUAGAUAUGAUCUUCAAACUUAAAGAAUUUGGCGGUGUUUUAGUCUAUUUAGAGGAACCUGUCCUGUAAUCGAUAAUCCACGUUGGACCUUACUAAAAUUUGUUGUCAAUUUGUAUAUCGCCGUUAUCAGAAUAUCUUAAAAGAGGAAUAAUUUUCUUAAUUUAUUAUUAUAAUUGAUGUCAGGUCAAGGUGCAGUUUAUAUUUUAGUAGAGAUGGGUUACAAUAAAUUUAUUUAAACGUUAAAUUAUUUGAAAUAAUGAUUUUAAGGUGGAUUUAAAAGUAAAAUAAUGGAUAUAAUUUAUUUGAUUAUAGCUCUAAAACAUGCACACAUCG